AUGCCGUGGUCUUCGGGUCGUUCUCAGGCUCCCAGCUUCCGUCGAGCUUCCGGAAGGAGAGGGGACGAAUCGAGGUCGCCGGUGCCCUACCGUGAGAGCCCGAUGGCGUAUGAGCCGGAGAAGCUCUGCUGGUGCAGGCCGCGUAGGAAGGCGCCGAGAUGGAUCUCAUGGAGCCGCCAGAACCCAGGCAGGCGGUACUACGCCUGCGUGGAUGCUAUGGUAAGUUUUAUUUUAGUUAUAUUUUCUGUUCAUUAG
rnacentral:rRNA from 1 species